AUAAUGAUACUUCUGUCAAGUCACAGUCGGAGCGUUAAAAGCGUCGCAGGCAAUGAUGACAGUCCGGGCGGAGCCGGGAAGGUGAAAUUCUUAUGG
ncrna:unclassified sequences pemK RNA